rnacentral:lncRNA from 1 species
CCACACUUAACGCCUGCUCAUAUGACAUAAUAUACAUGAACGAUGAACCUAUCUAUGAACUCCUUCUCAAGCACCAACCACACAUUUAUGCCUCCUCUUUCAACACUGUUUGAGAGAAGCAAAACAAACUCAUCCAUUCCACUCACUAUGGGCCCUCCAUGAACUGACCUACCGUACCCAAAAUCAAGUUCAUGGAAAGGGAAUUUCCACCAUGCUGAAACAUAGAAAUUGCCAUUGAAAACUGAGGGCACCCCCUUGUUAACCUCUAGCCAGUCAAUAACAGACCUUAUAUAAUCAUCAGUCACCCUAUUUUAUGGCAGAUUGAACCUCACCAACACAGAAAGAGAAGGGCCUCUGCUCUAAAUCCUUCACUCUUGCACUUGCACAAGCAGUUAUCACGGCAUUCCCGAUAAAUCUGUCUGGCAAAUUUGGCUCCAACCUUGACCGAAUAUCGAUGGCAAAAAGAACACUAGAAACCAUAUUGGGGUCCUUGAAAACAGCUUUGGUUUUUGCCCUCCAAAUACCACAAUUGCCUCGAAACACGAGCAUUUGGUUUCAUUGGGAAAACCAUUGUUUGAAAUUUCAAAACCAGGGGUACUAGCCGUUGGGGAGGUGUCGAAACUAUGAUUCUUUGGCUUUGGGGUAUUGGGAUUGGGUUCGGGAGAUGAAUGCUUUGACUCCUUUGGAAUCCCAUCAUUUGAGAUUUUGAAAGCAUGAAAUCUAGUCGUUAGACUAAAUUUCAAAACCAGGGGUACUAGCCGUUGGGGAGGUGUCGAAACUAUGAUUCUUUGGCUUUGGGGUAUUGGGAUUGGGUUCGGGAGAUGAAUGCUUUGACUCCUUUGGAAUCCCAUGAUUUGAGAUUUUGAAAGCAUGAAAUCUAGUCGUUAGAGAGGAGGGUCCACUAGCUAUGGAAGUUGGGGGGUCACCAUUGAUUGCCCUUUCUUCAGCUUGUCUAGCAUUUCCAGGGUGAAUGUGAAGAGCUUGUAUCUGUGUUUAUCUCAGAGUUCGACAGAGGAGGAAGGUUCUGGUGGGGAUGGAGAGGUGAAGGAAGAAGAAAAGGCUGAAGCAUCCGAGAGCUUAGCAUAUUCAGUAUGUGGGUAUUGAUUAUUGGGGGAUUCCUGGCUCUGAUCAAGCUUCAAUUGUUGUCGAGGCAAAGGGAUUUUAUACCUUCUCCCCUUGAGAUCGAGGCUGGGCUCUAAAACAUGUCGAUUGCUGAUUUGCCAUCAAGAAUGCUGUGAUUUGUGACAAACCCAAUUGAGAAACCUCCACAUUUGAACCUUGUAACCUACCAAAGGUUAAGAAACAAAUGAAAUCAAUGAGCAAGGAACAAGAUAGAAAUCUCGGCAUUAAGAUAACAGAUGAGCAAA